UACGGAGGGGGCUAGCGUUGUUCGGAAUUACUGGGCGUAAAGCGCACGUAGGCGGCUCUGUAAGUUAGAGGUGAAAGCCCAGGGCUCAACCCUGGAAUUGCCUUUAAGACUGCAUCGCUUGAACAUCGGAGAGGUAAGUGGAAUUCCGAGUGUAGAGGUGAAAUUCGUAGAUAUUCGGAAGAACACCAGUGGCGAAGGCGACUUACUGGACGAUUGUUGACGCUGAGGUGCGAAAGCGUGGGGAGCAAACAGG
rnacentral:rRNA from 1 species